AUUGAACGCUGGCGGCAGGCCUAACACAUGCAAGUCGAGCGAGCGGCGGACGGGUGAGAAAUGUAUGGGGGCACCCCGCUAUAGGGGGAUAAAUACUGUAGACGCUGGCGAUUACCGCACAUUGUCGGAUAACCCAUAUGGGGUUAGCUAGUAGGUAAGGUAAUGGCUUACCCAGGCGACGAUCCCUAGCUGGUCAGAGAGGAUGAUCAGCCACACUGGGGCUGAGACACGGCCCAGACUCCUACGGAGGCAGCAGUGGGGAAUAUUGCACAAUGGGCGCAAGCCUGAUGCAGCCAUGCCGCGUGUAUGAAGAAGGCCCUAGGGUUGUAAAGUACUUUCAGUCGGGAGGCGUUACCGACAGAAGAAGCACCGGCUAACUCCGUGCCAGCAGCCGCGGUAAUUC
rnacentral:rRNA from 1 species